rnacentral:rRNA from 1 species
AAGGGUAGUGCUAGGCGCCGGUGCACCGGCCCAAAUUUGGGCCGGUCGACGCACAGCCACCCGAUCAAAUCAUGCGUAGCUGUUGGAUUUGACCCAUCUGUGUCGUCUUCUUCCUAGCACUGCUCGACAGAAAAACAAGACGAGGUCCCGCCCAUCCUCGGGCACACCACCACCACCCAUCCUCGUCGCCGUUGUGGCCGUUCCCCGCGAGCUCCCACGAGGUCCCGCCCCUUGGCCGCCGGAAUUGCAUAACGGCCGCGAUUGAUUCCAGAGGCGAUUCAUUAAGGAUGAAGCUCUAAAAACAACCAGAUCCAGCUCACGGGUGCCAUGGUUGCAGCAUCCCUAGCGUAGCCCCGCCUCCGGUUCGCCGCGGUCCACCUCCGGCUCGCCGCGGUAGUCGGUGUCCAGCAAAAACUAACAAAAUCCUCAGUGGCCGGUUUGAAGCAAAUUCAUUAUAAGGUUCCAGCAAAAAACACACCGGUUCCAGCAAAAUUAACCUCAACAAAGAAAACUUCGGUGGUUGAUUGUAGCAAAAAAAAAUUGCUAGUUCCAGCAAAAAAACAUUGGUUCCAGCAAAAUAACUCUGAAGGGAGACUCGAAUUGGUUCUAUUGUAGCAAACAAAAAAAGAUUGUAGCAAAAGGAAAAGCUAGUUCCAGCAAAAACAUACACUGGUUCCAGCAAAUAUCGCACGUUGACGAUGAGCACGCAUCUGGUUCCAGCAAAUCGGUGGCCGACGGCAGCAAAAACUGAUACCGGUUCCAGCAAAUGGAUGGCCGGUUGUAGCAUUUCUUGUCACCGGUUGCAACUGUCGACACCGCGGUUGUAGCAAAUCGCCAGUAGUGGUCGUCGCCGCCGCGCGUUGAUUGUAGCAUGGCCGCAUGCCGGUUGUAGCACCUCGGAACGCCGGUUCCAGCUUUGCGUGCAUGCGGUUGGAGCACCGCCGCACCUCGCGUCGCCGCUGGUCGUCCCGCACCUCGUCGGUCACCGCUCGUAGCAGCAAGACGUCGCCGGUUCAUAGCACAGGCGGUGACCGCUCCGCGCGUCCCUGCACACAAGAAAAGCAGUGAGAAAUAGGGAACGGCGCUCCCGCUGGCAAAAAUUAGCUCGACGGCCUGCGCGAGGAGCAGACGGCACAUGAGGCAGGAUUAAAAGGAGAUGGGAAGAGGUGGGGAUCCAUGGAGUUUUUGCCGUGGUGUGUGGAGAAGAGCAUGGGAGCUAUUUCUGUUUCGGUGGAGAAGAAAU